CAAAAUCCGGUUAUUCGUUAAUGCUGAGAUCUGACGACGAGGCUCUUCCAAGAGCUGAAGUAGUUGAUGCCAUACUUCCAGGAAAAAUCUCUAAGCUUCAGGUAAAUUUGAACCGUACCCCAAACCGACACAGGUGGACAAGUAGAGAAUACUCAGGCGCUUGAGAGAACUCGGGUGAAGGAACUAGGCAAAUUGGCACCGUAACUUCGGAAGAAGGUGCGCCGGCUGAGGUGAGAGGACUUGCUCCUUAAGCUUUAGCCGGUCGCAGAUACCAGGUGGCUGCGACUGUUUAUUAAAAACACAGCACUCUGCAAACACGAAAGUGGAAGUAUAGGGUGUGACGCCUGCCCGGUGCCGGAAGGUUAAUUGAUGGGGUCAGCCGCAAGGCGAAGCUCUUGAUCGAAGCCCCGGUGAACGGCGGCCGUAACAAUAACGGUCCUAAGGUAGCGAAAUUCCUUGUCGGGUAAGUUCCGACCUGCACGAAUGGCGUAACGAUGGCCACACUGUCUCCACCCGAGACUCAGUGAAAUUGAAAUCGCUGUGAAGAUGCAGUGUACCCGCGGCUAGACGGAAAGACCCCAUGAACCUUUACUGUAGCUUUGCACUGGACUUUGAACCUGUCUGUGUAGGAUAGGUGGGAGACUAUGAAACCUGGGCGCUAGCUUGGGUGGAGUCAACCUUGAAAUACCACCCUGGUAUGUUUAAAGUUCUAACCUAGGCCCGUCAUCCGGGUCGGGGACAGUGUAUGGUAGGCAGUUUGACUGGGGCGGUCUCCUCCCAAAGAGUAACGGAGGAGCGCAAAGGUACCCUCGGCAUGGUCGGAAAUCAUGCUAUGAGUGCAAAGGCAUAAGGGUGCUUAACUGCGAGACUGACGGGUCGAGCAGAUACGAAAGUAGGUCUUAGUGAUCCGGUGGUUCUUCAUGGAAGGGCCAUCGCUCAACGGAUAAAAGGUACUCUGGGGAUAACAGGCUGAUACCGCCCAAGAGUUCAUAUCGACGGCGGUGUUUGGCACCUCGAUGUCGGCUCAUCACAUCCUGGGGCUGAAGCAGGUCCCAAGGGUAUGGCUGUUCGCCAUUUAAAGUGGUACGCGAGCUGGGUUUAGAACGUCGUGAGACAGUUCGGUUCCUAUCUACCGUGGGCGUUAGAAAUUUGAGAGGAGCUGCUCCUAGUACGAGAGGACCGGAGUGGACGACCCUCUGGUGUUCCGGUUGUCACGCCAGUGGCAUUGCCGGGUAGCUAUGGUCGGACGGGAUAACCGCUGAAAGCAUCUAAGCGGGAAGCCUCCCUCAAGAUUAGAUUUCUCGAGUCUUAAGACUCCUAAAGGUCCGUCGUAGACUACGACGUUGAUAGGCUGGGUGUGUAAGCGUUGUAAAGCGUUGAGCUAACCAGUACUAAUUGACCGUGUGGCUUGACCAA
rnacentral:rRNA from 1 species